CCCGCUCAGCUUCCCAAAGUGCUAGGAUUACAGGCAUGAGCCACUGUGCUCAGCCCCCAACCCACUUUAUGCUUCAUCUUGAGGGAACAUCACAGUGGGUAAAAUAUGGUUUAUGUUUACACAUGGGGCGAGGGUGAGCGAAUGGAGUGGAGAUGCUGUACUGGAAGGGCCAUUUCUUUCUUUUUUUCUUUUUUCUUUUCUUUUUUUUUUUUUUUUUGAAACAGAGUCUCACUCUGUCAUCCAGGCUGGAGUGCAGUGGCACGAUCUCAGCUCACUGCAACCUCUGCCUCCCAGGUUCAAGCGAUUCUCCUGCUUCAGCCUCAUGAGCAGCUGGGAUUACAGGCAUGCACUACCAUGCCUGGCCAACUUUCGUAUUUUAGUAGAGACAGAGUUUCACCAUGUUGGCCAGGCUGGUCUCAAACUCCUGACCUCAAAUGAUCCGUAGAAGGGCCAUUUCUUUCUUUCUUUUUUUUUUUUUUUUUUUUGAGACGGCGUCUCGCUCUGUCACCCAGGCUGGAGUGCAAUGGCAUGAUCUUGGCUCACUGCAAUCUCCACCUCCCGGGUUCAAGCGAUUCUCCCGCCUCAGCCUCCCAAGUAGCUGGGACUACAGGCGCCCGCCACCAUGCCCAGCUAAUUUUUAUAUUUUUAAUAGAGACGAGGUUUCGCCAUGUUGGCCAGGAUGGUCUCGAUCUCUUGACAUCGUGAUCCGCCCGCCUUGGCCUCCCAAAGUGCUGGGAUUACAGGCAUGAGCCACCGCGCC
rnacentral:lncRNA from 1 species